AUUGAACGCUGGCGGCAUGCCUUACACAUGCAAGUCGAACGGCAGCACGGGAGCAAUCCUGGUGGCGAGUGGCGAACGGGUGAGUAGUACAUCGGAACGUGCCUAGUAGUGGGGGAUAGCCCGGCGAAAGCCGGAUUAAUACCGCAUACGACCUGAGGGUGAAAGCGGGGGAUCGCAAGACCUCGCGCUAUCAGAGCGGCCGAUGCCAGAUUAGGUAGUUGGUGGGGUAAAAGCCUACCAAGCCGACGAUCUGUAGCUGGUCUGAGAGGACGACUAGCCACACUGGGACUGAGACACGGCCCAGACUCCUACGGGAGGCAGCAGUGGGGAAUUUUGGACAAUGGGCGCAAGCCUGAUCCAGCCAUGCCGCGUGCAGGAAGAAGGCCUUCGGGUUGUAAACUGCUUUUGUCAGGGAAGAAAAGUUCUGGGCUAAUACCCCGGAGCGAUGACGGUACCUGAAGAAUAAGCACCGGCUAACUACGUGCCAGCAGCCGCCGUAA
rnacentral:rRNA from 1 species